rnacentral:rRNA from 1 species
UACAGAGGUCCCAAGCGUUGUUCGGAUUCACUGGGCGUAAAGGGUGCGUAGGUGGCGAGGUAAGUCGGAUGUGAAAGCUCGGAGCUCAACUCCGAAAUGGCAUUGGAAACUACCUUGCUCGAGGGUUGGAGGGGGGACUGGAAUUCUCGGUGUAGCAGUGAAAUGCGUAGAUAUCGAGAGGAACACCAGUGGCGAAGGCGAGUCCCUGGACAACUCCUGACCCUGAGGCACGAAAGCUAGGGGAGCAAACAGG